rnacentral:ncRNA from 2 species
UAUAGUGAGCCAGCCUAUGGUGCCCCGAAAGGGUAUUUGAGGGAAUGCGGUGCGACGGAUCUGCUGUCAAACCCGCGGCUGCCCCCGCAACUGUAAGCGGAAAGUCUUCGUCCAUGAUGCCACUGGAGCAAUCCGGGAAGGCGGGCGCAAGAUGCCUGAUCCGCGAGCCAGGAGACCUGCCAGAGGCGAGGAAAAACU